ensembl:lncRNA
AUAAGGGUUACUACACUAGAAUUCAAUGUGAGGUCCAUAAGGGUUACUUCACUAGAAUUCAAUGUGCCAGAUAGUGAGGUCCAUAAGGGUUACUACACUAGAAAUCUUUAACAUACUAUGAAUAGUCAGUGUUUCUACCACGGAACUGCGGCUCAAUUUAUAUCUCUCUCUCUCUCACACACACACACACACACACACACGUCACUCUGUUUUCAUGAAUACAUAAUCUGUCUCUAUAAGUGUUAAACAUCCAAAAUAUUUUCAGGAAAUGAAGCUCAGGCACCAAGGAGAAAAGAUACUAGCUAGCACACAGAUGGCAUGUGUGUGUAACAUACGUUGCAUAGUUUAUUUUCUAAAAAGUACAUUUACAAAAAUACACUGCAAUUUGACAUACCAGGUAUCAAGCAGAAAUGGACUUAAAAAAUACAAAUAAUUUAGGUGCCCAUCAAUAUUACACAUUUACAGUAUCACCAUCCCCCCCUCAUGAUGCCAUCUAUUUUGUGAAGUGCACCAGUUCCUCCUUCAGCAAAGCACCCCCACAACAUGAUGCUGCAAACCCCGUGCUUCACGGUUGGGAUGGUUUUCUUCAGCUUUGCAAGCCUCCCCCUUUUUCCUCCAAACAAAACGAUCGUCAUUAUGGCCAAACAAUUAUAUCUUUGUUUCAUCAAACCAGAGAUCUACAAUUUUUUUUCUGAGGUCUUUGCUGAUUUCUUUUGGUUUUCCCAUGAUGUCAAGAAAAGAGGCACUGAGUUUGAAGGUAGGCCUUGAAAUACAUCCACAGGUACACCUCUGAUAGGCUAAUUGACAUCAUUUGAGUCAAUCAGAAGCUUCUAAAGCCAUUACAUAAUUUUCAGGAAUUUAAGUAAGAAGUGGGUAUUGGUCUGAAGCCGAAAAAUAUAGUAAAUUCAGGAGCACCACAAUGCCUAUUCCACCCAUGCUCUACCAAGGUUUACCAGCACCACGAUGCCUACUCCACCCAUGCUCUACCAAGCUUUUACAGCCCCACAAUGCCUACUCCACCCAUGCUUUACCAAGGUUUUACAGCACCACAACGCCUACUCCACCCAUGCUCUACCAAGGUUUACCAGCACCACAAUGCCUAUUCCACCCAUGCUCUACCAAGGUUUUACAGCACAGAUUCAAACCUUGUGAAUGUCCUUUUUACAGCUUCAGACCUACUUCUCACUUAAAACUUUGUUUUUUGUUUUGAGAUUCCCUGGUUUUUACACUGGAAGGUGAUUUUCUUUAUAAAAAAAAGUGCAUUAUACAACAUUUCAUUACAUUAACCAAGUCUGCCAUUGGCAGGUCUACUGUAAACUUAAUUUGGCCUCUGUCAAAAGGUCUAGGCCUUAAUGACACAGGUGGUGUGCUCCUUUGCACCCCAUUAUUUCUCUCUCUACUUUGCACAUUCUUCCACUGCAAAUCAACCAUUCCAGUGUUUUACUUGCUAUAUUGUAUUUACUUUGCCACCAUGGCCUUUUUUUUGCCUUUACCUCCCUUAUCUCACCUCAUUUGCUCACAUCGUAUAUAGGCUUGUUUAUACUGUAUUAUUGUAUUUACUUUGCCACCAUGGCCAUUUUUUUGCCCUUACCUCCCUUCUCACCUCGAUGCUCACAUCGUAUAUAGACUUGUUUAUACUGUAUUAUUGACUAUGUCUGUUUUAUUCCAUGUGUAAAUCUGUGUCGUUGUAUGUGUCGAACUGCUUUGCUUUAUCUUGGCCAGG